ACCUGGAUAACUCAGUCAGGAGAGCAUGAGACUCUUAAUCUCAGGGUCGUGGGUUUGAGCCCCACGUUGGGUG
rnacentral:tRNA from 1 species